UUUUUGCUAUGAUGAUUUAAGAAGAAAUUCACAUGUCAGACUUCAGAGAUUUUCAUAAUCAAUGAGAAUGACAAUUCGAUUCACUGAGCAGAAA